rnacentral:rRNA from 1 species
GACAGCGGCUUUGUCACGUUGAAUACACCAGUUCUUGUUGGAUCACUGAAGUUAAGCAACAUCGAGCGUGGAUAGUACUACGACCUGUACCAAAGGCU